UCUUUUUCCUCCAGGAAAGAAUAGGGCUGC
rnacentral:piRNA from 1 species